rnacentral:rRNA from 1 species
GUACACUCCUACGGGAGGCAGCAGUGGGGAAUUUUGAACAAUGGGCGAAAGCCUGAUCCAGCAAUGCCGCGUGAGUGAAGAAGGCCUUCGGGUUGUAAAGCUCUUUUGUCAGGGAAGAAACGGUGAGAGCUAAUAUCUCUUGCUAAUGACGGUACCUGAAGAAUAAGCACCGGCUAACUACGUGCCAGCAGCCGCGGUAAUACGUAGGGUGCAAGCGUUAAUCGGAAUUACUAGGCGUAAAGCGUGCGCAGGCGGUUUUGUAAGUCUGAUGUGAAAUCCCCGGGCUCAACCUGGGAAUUGCAUUGGAGACUGCAAGGCUAGAAUCUGGCAGAGGGGGGUAGAAUUCCACGUGUAGCAGUGAAAUGCGUAGAUAUGUGGAGGAACACCGAUGGCGAAGGCAGCCCCCUGGGUCAAGAUUGACGCUCAUGCACGAAAGCGUGGGGAGCAAACAGGAUUAGAAACCCGAGUAGUCCCA